ACAACAAUAAAUUGCCCUCUUUGCCAAUAACAAGGAGGGCUAUAGCAAACCAACGCCUUCUUUGAUUUUAACAAAGAGGGAGAAAUGAUGAAAUUUCCCUCUGUUUUAAGUACGGAGUAACAAAAAGGGCAAAUUUUCCAUUUGGCCGUAUUAGCAAAGAAAAUAAAGAAAGAAAUUGGCACUGAUUUUUCUCAUUUCCUCAAUCGUUCUUCUCCUUCAAAUCCCCUUUUUAUCUAAAUUAAUUUGAGCUCUCCAUUUUCUUCUGAUUUAGUAGGUUAGAAAAUUUCAUUUUUUCUCAGUAUAUUUCUUGGAACCCUAGAAAUAAUCGAUGUGUUCUGAAUUCGUCUUUGAGGUACCUUCUGAAAUCAUCAGUUGUUUCUGCACUCUUGAGUAUUGCUUUAAAGCCCAGUUCCAAAGAUCUGGGAGCGUUGCACCAACUUUUGUUCGAUCAGCCCUAUAUCCCUAGAGGCGAAGGAGAUAAUCCCUUCUGAAACCGAGUGUUGCUGCUGUUGUUGUGAUGUCAGCACCAGAUUCUUCUUCUCUUGUUUCAACAAUCUUCUGAUCAUUUUGAGGUUAUGUUAUCUGAAAAGGAAUUGUAUAUCUCUUCGACCUAAUGAACUUAGGCUCAAGAAUUACUAAAAUCGGAACUCUGAGCUAGGAGAUACGACCUUCUGAAGCUGACAGUUGCUGAUGUCAACGUGUUGUUGUUGCUCUUCUUCCUUGUUACUUCUCACUUCCCCAACUUCUUAGUUGCGUUGUUGGCUUCUAAAGGGAAAGUUCAAGAUAAAAUCGAUGGUCAAGAUUAUGGGUUAUCGUUGGAGAUUAAAGCACGAGGAUGUGUUCGGGAAGAUUGAAUUCAGAUUAAAGCGAUUGAUGGUGAUUGUGAAAUGAGAUUCUUGGAGGUUAGGUGUGACAAUUGAAGAUUCUCUUUCUAAUGGUUUUGGAGGAAUUGAGUAAGCUCGGAUGUGGAUUAAGGUAUGGAUUGAGGAAGAAAUUAUUCUGCUAAAAUAUUGUGAAAUCAUCAAGGGACGUGAUAGGUUGAAACUUCUUGUGUAUUCAAAGUUUAUUAUGAGAGUUAAUUCCGGUUUAGUAUUAUAUAUUAAACUCUAAUAUGUAGUUAGUGUGAAAUAAAAAAUUCUAAAUAGCAGCUCGAAAGUGCGGGCUGUUACAGGUGGUAUCAGAGCCAAGGUUGAUUUUGGGUUUGCUAUGAUCUUCAUAUUAUAGCAUAUGAGUUGGAAAUAGGUUUAUAUGAUUGAGUAAGAGUCAAUAAGUAUAUUUGCGAUGUUAAGCUCAAAGUAUUUUGCUUUAAACCGAGGAGUCCAGAAAUGUAAGGAAGAUUUGAAGUCAUGAUAUUUGGUUUGUGAAAUGUGAUAGGGAUAUGAAGGUUGGAAAACUUAAACAUAUGUUUUGGGAAUUAGUGAAACUUUAUUUUAAUCAAUGUGGGAAGAAGUGUCGAGGAUUGAAAUUGGAUUUAUAAAUAUUAGUGUGGUUAUGCACUCGGAGAUGAUGGGUUGAGGAUUUUAGAUUUCAUUGCUUGUUUUGAAUUAUGAGAAUUUGAGUCUGGAAUAGAUUGCUUAAUCUGGGUAAUUGGAACCCUAAUGUAAAGAUUGGACUCAUUAAAAUAUCUAUUGUUCAAUUCUCUAUCUCGGAUCAAGAGUUUCAGUAUGUCGUCAUCAUUAAUUCAUAUAAUCUUCUUCCUCCUAAACCGAAUUGAGUAUCGUUAAUCUCCAAUCCAUCCAUUGUUCCUCAAAAUUCAAUAUUCAUAUUGGAAUCAUAUAUUUCAAGGAAAUCGAGUUAUGUUAGUUUAUUUCCUACACUGUGAUUUCAAAAUGUGAUUUCAAAAUAAUAUGUUAUUCAAAUGAUCUAAAGUUUUUGUUUUAAAGUUUCGAGGGCGAAACUUAUUUUGUGGGUGGUAGUAUGUAAUAGCCUCGUUUUUAAGCCACUUCAAAUUAAACAAUAAUGAUAUUUUAUUAGCUUAAUUACCUUUAUAAAACUAUAUUUGUGAAAUUAUGGGUUUAUGAUUGACUAUUAUUUGUUAUUAUGUGUUGUUAAUAAGUAGAAGAAAAUCAGAUUUUUGGUAUAAUUGAAAUUACUAUAUUGCCCUCAAUAAGAAACUCAUUUUUCUUUCUCAUCCUUCCCUAUGUGUCAUUUUAAGAGGCAUUCCACCUCUUUGAUUUGCUUUCAUCUCCUCCAUGAUCCAUAUUUAGUGAGGCAAAUUCUUAAUUUGUCAACCCAAUUAGAAGACCCAAAAAAACCCAUCUCAUCUUCUUCCUCCUCUAGCUGGCAUUUCUCAAAGGUCGGUUCUGUUUGAUCAAAUUCAUCCAUCAUUCGCUAAUUUUUAGCCAAUUCUUCCUACAUGAAAUUUUUAGCCAUUUAAAAAUUAACCAGUUUAGGUUCAAGAAUCACUCAAUUUGGAGCAUUAUUCUAGGAGAUAAUCCCUUUUGAAACCAAGUGUUGCUGCUGUUGUUGUAAUGUCAGCACCAUAUCCUUCUUCUCUUGUUUCAACAACCUUCUAAUCAUUUUAAGGUUAUGUUAUCUGAAAAGUAAUUGUAUAUCUCUUCAACCUAAUGAACUUAGGCUCAAGAAUUACUAAAAUAGGAACUCUGAGCUAGGAGAUACGACCUUCUGAAGCUGACAGUUGCUGAUGUCAACGUGUUGUUGUUGCUCUUCUUCCUUGUUACUUCUCACUUCCCCAACUUCUUAGUUGCGUUGUUGGCUUCUAAAGGGAAAGUUCAAGAUAAAAUCGAUGGUCAAGAUUGUGGGUUAUCGUUGGAGAUUAAAGCACGGGGAUGUGUUCGAGAAGAUUGAAUUCAGAUUAAAGCGAUUGAUGGUGAUUGUGAAAUGAGAUUCUUGGAGGUUAGGUGUGACAAUUGAAGAUUUUGUUAUUUGAACCUGUCCCGGUGGGGGCAGAUUCUCUUUCUAAUGGUUUUGCAGGAAUUGAGUAAGCUCGGAUAUGGAUCAAGGUAUGGAUUGAGGAAGAAAUUAUUCUGCUAAAAUAUUGUGGAAUCAUCAAGGGACGUGAUAGGUUGAAACUUCUUGUGUAUUCAAAGUUUAUUAUGAGAGUUAAUUCCGGUUUAGUAUUAUAUAUUAAACUCUAAUAUGUAGUUAGUGUGAAAUAAAAAAUUCUAAAUAGCAGCUCGAAAGUGCGGGCUGUUACACUUGACCUUGAGUUUAAACAAUAAAGCUUUUACCACUAAGCUUUCACA